GGAAGUGUCUCUGUCACUGGUGGGCAGCCUGGACUUCAAAUCCAGUGUUUUCGGCUGAUAACCGGAAAGGUGGGUUCGAUUCCCAUACACUUCCGCCA
rnacentral:tRNA from 1 species